AGAUCGAACACAGUUUUACAGUGAAAAAUGCAUGAACAUCAAACGGGCAAUGGGAAACAAACUAAGAAAUCAGAAUAAGUCUUUCUACUGCAUCCCAUUCCCUUUAUGCUACAUGAACGAACGUCGCUCCACAUGAUCAAUUCUGAGAGUUAAGUAUGUGUGAAAGACAUCAAUCACCCAGCUUGUUGUGAAAACACAGUUUGUUUUAAGUGGGAAACAACAUUACAUACAUAUAUAUGGGGAGGUAGUAGCUCCAACACGGAUUUACAGUGAAAACUGCAGGAACUUCAAACCAGCACUUGGAAACAAACUGAGGAAACAGGGUAAGUGACUCUCCUGCAACCCGUUCCCUUUGUGCCAGAUACACGAAUGUAUCUUCACAUGCUCAGUUGUGGGAAAUGAUUGUGUGUGAAACCCGUCCUUCACCUAGAUUGUUGUGAAACAAAGUUUCUUUUCAGUUGCUUACUACAAUACAUACAAAUAUAAUGGGCGGUACUAGCUCCAACUUGGGUUUGCACUGAAAAAUGUAGCAACAUAAAACCAGCACUAAGAAACAGACUGAGAAAUCAGAG